CCUACGGGGGGCAGCAGUGGGGAAUAUUGGACAAUGGGGGGAACCCUGAUCCAGCCAUGCCGCGUGUGUGAAGAAUGCCCUCGGGGUGGAAAGCACUUUCAGUGAGGAAGAACGCCUGGUGGUUAAUACCCAUCAGGAAAGACAUCACUCACAGAAGAAGCACCGGCUAACUCCGUGCCAGCAGCCGCGGUAAUACGGAGGGUGCGAGCGUUAAUCGGAAUUACUGGGCGUAAAGCGCGCGUAGGUGGCUUGAUAAGCCGGUUGUGAAAGCCCCGGGCUCAACCUGGGAACGGCAUCCGGAACUGUCAAGCUAGAGUGCAGGAGAGGAAGGUAGAAUUCCUGGUGUAGCGGUGAAAUGCGUAGAGAUCGGGAGGAAUACCAGUGGCGAAGGCGGCUUUCUGGACUGACACUGACACUGAGGUGCGAAAGCGUGGGUAGCAAACAGGAUUAGAUACCCCGGUAGUC
rnacentral:rRNA from 1 species